rnacentral:tRNA from 3 species
CGGGAUGUUGCGCAGUCUGGUAGCGUACACUUCUGGGGGGCGUGUGAUCGCAGACGGUCGGCCGUUGCCGUUCAAAUCCUGUCAUCCCGA